AUUGAACGCUGGCGGCAGGCCUAACACAUGCAAGUCGAGCGGAUGAAGAGAGCUUGCUCUCUGAUUUAGCGGCGGACGGGUGAGUAAUGCCUAGGAAUCUGCCUGGUAGUGGGGGAUAACGUUCCGAAAGGAACGCUAAUACCGCAUACGUCCUACGGGAGAAAGCAGGGGACCUUCGGGCCUUGCGCUAUCAGAUGAGCCUAGGUCGGAUUAGCUAGUUGGUGAGGUAAUGGCUCACCAAGGCUACGAUCCGUAACUGGUCUGAGAGGAUGAUCAGUCACACUGGAACUGAGACACGGUCCAGACUCCUACGGGAGUCAGCAGUGGGGAAUAUUGGACAAUGGGCGAAAGCCUGAUCCAGCCAUGCCGCGUGUGUGAAGAAGGUCUUCGGAUUGUAAAGCACUUUAAGUUGGGAGGAAGGGCAGUAAGUUAAUACCUUGCUGUUUUGACGUUACCGAUAGAAUAAGCACCGGCUAACUUCGUGCCAGCCGCCGCGGUAAUAC
rnacentral:rRNA from 1 species